AACGAACGCUGGCGGCAUGCUUAACACAUGCAAGUCGAACGAGACCUUCGGGUCUAGUGGCGCACGGGUGCGUAACGCGUGGGAAUCUACCCUUUGCUACGGAAUAACUCAGAGAAAUUUGUGCUAAUACCGUAUAAUGUCGCAAGACCAAAGAUUUAUCGGCAAAGGACGAGCCCGCGUAAGAUUAGCUAGUUGGUGGGGUAAAGGCUCACCAAGGCGACGAUCUUUAGCUGGUCUGAGAGGAUGAUCAGCCACACUGGGACUGAAACACGGCCUAGACUCCUACGGGAGGCAGCAGUGGGGAAUAUUGGACAAUGGGCGAAAGCCUGAUCCAGCAAUGCCGCGUGAGUGAUGAAGGCCUUAGGGUUGUAAAGCUCUUUUACCAGGGAUGAUAAUGACAGUACCUGGAGAAUAAGCUCCGGCUAACUCCGUGCCAGCCGCCGCAGUAA
rnacentral:rRNA from 1 species